UCCGUAGGUGGAUAAUUAAGUCAGGGGUGAAAGUCUGCAGCUCAACUGUAGAAUUGCCCUUGAUACUGGUUGUCUUGAGUCAUUAUGAAGUAGUUAGAAUAUGUAGUGUAGCGGUGAAAUGCAUAGAUAUUACAUAGAAUACCAAUUGCGAAGGCAGAUUACUAAUAAUGUACUGACACUGAUGCACGAAAGCGUGGGGAGCGAACAGGAUUAGAUACCCUGGUAGUCC
rnacentral:rRNA from 1 species